AUCCUGGCUUAGGACGAACGCUGGCGGCGUGCCUAAUACAUGCAAGUCGAACGGUCUUUCUAUGGAAGCUUGCUUCCACUGAGAAGAUAGUGGCGAACGGGUGAGUAACACGUGGGUAACCUGCCCAUAAGAGGGGGAUAACAUCCGGAAACGGGUGCUAAUACCGCAUAGUUUUCUUGAUCGCAUGAUCGGGAAAGGAAAGACGGCCUUUGUGCUGUCGCUUAUGGAUGGACCCGCGGCGUAUUAGUUAGUUGGUGAGGUAACGGCUCACCAAGACGAUGAUACGUAGCCGACCUGAGAGGGUGAUCGGCCACAUUGGGACUGAGACACGGCCCAAACUCCUACGGGAGGCAGCAGUAGGGAAUCUUCCGCAAUGGACGAAAGUCUGACGGAGCAACGCCGCGUGAGUGAAGAAAAGGUUUUCGGAUCGUAAAACUCUGUUGUCAGAGAAGAACAAGUUGGAGAGUAACUGCUCCAGCCUUGACGGUAUCUGACCAGAAAGCCACGGCUAACUACGUGCCAGCAGCCGC
rnacentral:rRNA from 1 species